rnacentral:lncRNA from 1 species
AUGCACAAAAAAUCUAACUUGUCUACAAUCAUAACUGAUGAGCUAGAUUACAUGUAUGUAUGUAUGUACGUAUGUGCUUUGUUGAUAGCAAAGUGUGUGUGCUUAUGGGUGAACAGGAAAGAUGUAGAGAGGGUGGGGAAAGAGUCAGUUCUUAGUUACUCAGGGAUUGAAGGCUGGUUAGCCAUUUGGAGAAUCAACUAUGUAUUUUCCUUUCUGUCCUUUCCCCCAUGAAGCCCACCUUUGUGUCAUGGCGUCUCAGCACUUCCACCAGGAAAAGAAAUGAGAACAUUUAAAACAUUAAAAUCAUUCUGUCUGUGACUCUCCUGUGGACAAGCUGAAAAGUCACAUAAAGAAGAAGUUGAGGUUAAUGGCCAAAAUAAGGUUCUUAUUCGCUUGUGUUUUUAACAAUGCCAUAUAUAAUAUUUCACAGGGUAAAGGAGUGCUUUCACAGACAUGACUUCAUCUGAUCCUCAGACAGCCCCAGUAUGUACUCAGUGCAGAUAUUAAUAUCCUCCUCUGACAAAUAAGGAAAAUGAAGCUCAGGGAAGUAGUAACUUACUUGAAGUUGUUGCUGGUAAGUGGCAGAAUCUGAGUUGGAAUCCAUUUCUUCCCGUUCUCAGUGCUCUUUCUGCCCCUUUGGUAUCAACAACACACCUGAGAGCCUCUAGGCUCUUGCUUUACACCCAGUUCUCGUGAACUAGGUUACCUGAUUUCCUGUCUGAUUUUCUCUUCUCCCAUUUCCUUUUUCACUGUGAAGAAAAAAUAACAAAUCUUCACUUUGGCAGAAAUUCUGAGAUGAGCGGGUGAAAGAAAUAGGCACAGACGACUCAGAAGUGUAACUCAGCUUAGAUUCCCUAAGGAGAGUGAGGGCUACAAAAGGAGUUUUUUAAACAAUGCAUUUCAUAGUCUCAUCCUAGGAAUGUAACCCUUCUCUGGGCUUUAGUCUGGAAAUCUAAACUGUCCUUGUCAGAUAAGAAGGUAACCUACUUUAAAUAUCUCCACGAGAACAGGAUCUUUCAACAGCCGGAGUGUUUAUCAACACUGUGUCAAAAGCUCUGCUUUUUAUCUAUCCCGAAUCUCCC